AUUUGCUUAAUGGACCUCUAGCUUCAAGUUUGAAUUCAGAUGUGCCUCAGCAACGCCCAAGUGUAGUUGUCUCACCACAUUCUACAACCUCUGUUAUACAGGGACAUCAAAUCAUAGCAGUUCCCGACUCAGGAUCAAAAGUAUCCCAUUCUCCUGCCCUAUCAUCUGACGUUCGGUCUACAAAUGGCACAGCAGAAUGCAAAACUGUAAAGAGGCCAGCAGAGGAUACUGAUAGGGAAACAGUCGCAGGAAUUCCAAAUAAAGUAGGAGUUAGAAUUGUUACAAUCAGUGACCCCAACAAUGCUGGCUGCAGCGCAACAAUGGUUGCUGUGCCAGCAGGAGCAGAUCCAAGCACUGUAGCUAAAGUAGCAAUAGAAAGUGCUGUUCAGCAAAAGCAACAGCAUCCACCAACAUAUGUACAGAAUGUGGUCCCGCAGAACACUCCUAUGCCACCUUCACCAGCUGUACAAGUGCAGGGCCAGCCUAACAGUUCUCAGCCUUCUCCAUUCAGUGGAUCCAGUCAGCCUGGAGAUCCAAUGAGAAAACCUGGACAGAACUUCAUGUGUCUGUGGCAGUCUUGUAAAAAGUGGUUUCAGACACCCUCACAGGUUUUCUACCAUGCAGCAACUGAACAUGGAGGAAAAGAUGUAUAUCCAGGGCAGUGUCUUUGGGAAGGUUGUGAGCCUUUUCAGCGACAGCGGUUUUCUUUUAUUACCCACUUGCAGGAUAAGCACUGUUCAAAGGAUGCCCUACUUGCAGGAUUAAAACAAGAUGAACCAGGACAAGCAGGAAGUCAGAAGUCUUCUACCAAGCAGCCAACUGUAGGGGGCACAAGCUCAACUCCUAGAGCACAAAAGGCCAUUGUGAAUCAUCCCAGUGCUGCACUUAUGGCUCUGAGGAGAGGAUCAAGAAACCUUGUCUUUCGAGAUUUUACAGAUGAAAAAGAGGGACCAAUAACUAAACACAUCCGACUAACAGCUGCCUUAAUAUUAAAAAAUAUUGGUAAAUAUUCAGAAUGUGGUCGCAGAUUGUUAAAGAGACAUGAAAAUAACUUAUCAGUGCUAGCCAUUAGUAACAUGGAAGCUUCCUCCACCCUUGCCAAAUGCCUUUAUGAACUUAAUUUUACAGUUCAGAGUAAGGAACAAGAAAAAGACUCAGAAAUGCUGCAGUGAAAAAUAAUUCCACUUACACAGUGGGGGACUCAAAGUCAGCCACAUUUCACAUACUGUUACUGAAGAAAGCACCAAGUCUUAAUGGAACAAAGACCAUAGAAUGAAUUAUUUUAUCUCCUCCCAUGAUGCUGAGAGGAAGCUUCGUAUUCUGAUCUCUGAGUGAAUCCCUUUGUUCUCUGUUUAAAAAAAUCU
rnacentral:lncRNA from 1 species